rnacentral:rRNA from 1 species
ACUCCUACGGGAGGCAGCAGUGGGGAAUUUUGGACAAUGGGGGCAACCCUGAUCCAGCCAUGCCGCGUGAGUGAAGAAGGCCUUCGGGUUGUAAAGCUCUUUCGGCCGGGAAGAAAUCGCAUUGGUUAAUACCCAGUGUGGAUGACGGUACCGGAAUAAGAAGCACCGGCUAACUACGUGCCAGCAGCCGCGGUAAUACGUAGGGUGCGAGCGUUAAUCGGAAUUACUGGGCGUAAAGCGUGCGCAGGCGGUUUUGUAAGACAGGCGUGAAAUCCCCGGGCUCAACCUGGGAACUGCGUUUGUGACUGCAAGGCUAGAGUAUGGCAGAGGGGGGUGGAAUUCCACGUGUAGCAGUGAAAUGCGUAGAGAUGUGGAGGAACACCGAUGGCGAAGGCAGCCCCCUGGGCCAAUACUGACGCUCAUGCACGAAAGCGUGGGUAGCAAACAGGAUUAGAUACCCUGGUAGUCCACGCCCUAAACGAUGUCAACUAGGUGUUGGGUGGGUAAAACCAUUUAGUACCGGAGCUAACGCGUGAAGUUGACCGCCUGGGGAGUACGGCCGCAAGGUUAAAACUCAAAGGAAUUGACGGGGACCCGCACAAGC